GAUGAACGCUGGCGGCGUGCCUAACACAUGCAAGUCGAGCGAUUUACUUCGGUAAAGAGCGGCGGACGGGUGAGUAACGCGUGGGUAACCUGCCCUAUACACACGGAUAACAUACCGAAAGGUAUGCUAAUACGGGAUAAUAUAAGAGAUUCGCAUGGAUUUCUUAUCAAAGCUGAGGCGGUAUAGGAUGGACCCGCGUCUGAUUAGCUAGUUGGUAAGGUAACGGCUUACCAAGGCGACGAUCAGUAGCCGACCUGAGAGGGUGAUCGGCCACAUUGGAACUGAGACACGGUCCAAACUCCUACGGGAGGCAGCAGUGGGGAAUAUUGCACAAUGGGCGAAAGCCUGAUGCAGCAACGCCGCGUGAGUGAUGAAGGCCUUCGGGUCGUAAAACUCUGUCCUCAAGGAAGAUAAUGACGGUACUUGAGGAGGAAGCCCCGGCUAACUACGUGCCAGCAGCCGCCGCCGUAA
rnacentral:rRNA from 1 species